AGCAAUUUGGCGCAGUGGAAGCGCGCCGGGCUCAUAACCCGGAGGUCGCACGAUCGAAACGUGCAA
rnacentral:tRNA from 1 species